AGCUUGCACGUUAGGCUUGCUUUUCUCAUGGAAUAUCUCUCCGUGCCCUGAGCGCAUAGCACACACGCAAAGCAGCGCAGCCGUCUACAACGCAGCGCUUGGCCUGGCUUGUCACUUGACUAGGCGGUUGGCUAUGGGGGAGCCGAGAAGUGGUGAGGGACGAUCUGCGCACUGAUGGCCUUUAGUUUAAGACGUGAAGUGGCGCUAAAGGUGGAGGGUGCCUGGAGCGGAGUCUGAGUCAGGGACCUUGGAACUUGCUAAAGAACUCAAUUUUUUCAAUAAACUGGUGCACUGCUU